GCAUUCGCGGACUAAUGGAUAAAGCGUCUGAUUUCUAAUCAGAAAAUUACCGGUUCGACCCCGGCCGUUGGCU
rnacentral:tRNA from 1 species